UACGUAGGGGGCAAGCGUUGUCCGGACUCAUUGGGCGUAAAGAGCGUGUAGGCGGUCAGGUAGGUCGGUUGUGAAAACUGGAGGCUCAACCUUCAGAGGUCGACCGAAACCCCCUGGCUAGAGUCCGGGAGAGGAGAGUGGAAUUCCUGGUGUAGCGGUGAAAUGCGCAGAUAUCAGGAAGAACACCCGUGGCUAAGGCGGUUCUCUAGUACGGUACUGACGCUGAGACGCGAAAGCGUGGGGAGCGAACAGG
rnacentral:rRNA from 1 species